GUUUUGUAUGUAUUCCGCCAUGUCAUUCGUUUUAAGAAACAGGAGCAUUAGCAGGCGAGAUGAACCAUCGAUGCGCCAGCUUUUGUUAUUAUAGCAACCUAGAAAGGCAAAAAAAAGGUGGUACAGCAGCAACAUGACAGGCAAAUGACCCUAGUUUGGGAGAAUGGAUUAGAUUGUGUCAUUUACGAUUCCGUUUAUUCGUCGCUGGAGGCGGGUUU
rnacentral:sRNA from 1 species